rnacentral:tRNA from 1 species
AGCAAGAUAGCUCAAAGGUAGAGCAUACGUUUCAUAAUCGUGUGGUUGUGAGUUCAAUUCUCUCUCUUGCUA